rnacentral:rRNA from 1 species
AUUGAACGCUGGCGGCAUGCCUUACACAUGCAAGUCGAACGGUAACGCGGGGGCAACCCUGGCGACGAGUGGCGAACGGGUGAGUAAUACAUCGGAACGUACCUGGUAGUGGGGGAUAGCCCGGCGAACGCCGGAUUAAUACCGCAUACGCACCACGGUGGAAAGCGGGGGACCGCAAGGCCUCGCGCUAUCAGAGCGGCCGAUGGCAGAUUAGCUAGUUGGUAGGGUAAAAGCCUACCAAGGCGACGAUCUGUAGCUGGUCUGAGAGGACGGCCGGCCACACUGGGACUGAGACCCGGCCCAGACUCCUACGGGAGGCAGCAGUGGGGAAUUUUGGACAAUGGGGGAAACCCUGAUCCAGCGAGGCCGCGUGUGUGAAGAAGGCCUUCGGGUUGUAAAGCACUUUUGUUCGGGAAGAAAUCUGUCGGGCUAAUACCCUGGCGGGAUGACGGUACCGGAAGAAUAAGCACCGGCUAACUACGUGCCAGCCGCCGCCGUAA